CCAGACUCCUACGGGAGGCAGCAGUAGGGAAUCUUCGGCAAUGGACGAAAGCCUGACCGAGCAACGCCGCGUGAGUGAAGAAGGUUUUCGGAUCGUAAAACUCUGUUGUUAGAGAAGAACAAGGAUGAGAGUAGAACGUUCAUCCCUUGACGGUAUCUAACCAGAAAGCCACGGCUAACUACGUGCCAGCAGCCGCGGUAAUACGUAGGUGGCAAGCGUUGUCCGGAUUUAUUGGGCGUAAAGCGAGCGCAGGCGGUUUCUUAAGUCUGAUGUGAAAGCCCCCGGCUCAACCGGGGAGGGUCAUUGGAAACUGGGAGACUUGAGUGCAGAAGAGGAGAGUGGAAUUCCAUGUGUAGCGGUGAAAUGCGUAGAUAUAUGGAGGAACACCAGUGGCGAAGGCGGCUCUCUGGUCUGUAACUGACGCUGAGGCACGAAAGCGUGGGUAUCGAACAGGAUUAGAUACCCGUGUAA
rnacentral:rRNA from 1 species